CAGCCACCGCGGGAAUACGAAGGGUGCAAGCGUUACUCGGAAUUACUGGGCGUAAAGCGUGCGUAGGCGGUUGGUUAAGUCUGCUGUGAAAGCCCUGGGCUCAACCUGGGAGCUGCAGUGGAAACUGGCCAGCUAGAGUGUGUCAGAGGAUGGUGGAAUUCCCGGUGUAGCGGUGAAAUGCGUAGAGAUCGGGAGGAACACCAGUGGCGAAGGCGGCCAUCUGGGACAACACUGACGCUGAGGCACGAAAGCGUGGGGAGCAAACAGGAUUAGAUACCCGCGUAGUCCCUGUCUCUUAUAC
rnacentral:rRNA from 1 species